AAUAAAAUCAUUAUUAUUGGUACUCGAGAAGUCGCAAAGUUUAGUGCUUUCAGCCAUGAUGACUUCAACAAACAAAUAAAGCACACAAGCAAGCAAUAAAACCGGCAAAGGAAAACGACAAAAAGGCAAAAGGCAAAAGAAAAUGGCAAAGGAGAAAGGCAAAUGAAAACGGCAAAUGUGAAGUGGGGAGAGGAAAUCGAGUGGAAACUGGCAAAAAAA
rnacentral:lncRNA from 1 species